GUGGAUUAGAUACCCUGGUAGUCCACGCCCUAAACGAUGUCAACUAGUUGUCGGGAGGGUAACCCUCUUGGUAACGCAGCUAACGCGUGAAGUUGACCGCCUGGGGAGUACGGUCGCAAGAUUAAAACUCAAAGGAAUUGACGGGGGCCCGCACAAGCGGUGGAUUAUGUGGAUUAAUUCGAUGCAACGCGAAAAACCUUACCUACCCUUGACAUGCCAGGAACUUGCCAGAGAUGGCUUGGUGCUCGAAAGAGAACCUGGACACAGGUGCUGCACGGCCGUCGCCAACU
rnacentral:rRNA from 1 species